UGGGGAAUUUUGGACAAUGGGCGAAAGCCUGAUCCAGCAAUGCCGCGUGUGUGAAGAAGGCCUUCGGGUUGUAAAGCACUUUUGUCCGGAAAGAAAUCCUUGGCUCUAAUACAGUCGGGGGAUGACGGUACCGGAAGAAUAAGCACCGGCUAACUACGUGCCAGCAGCCGCGGUAAUACGUAGGGUGCAAGCGUUAAUCGGAAUUACUGGGCGUAAAGCGUGCGCAGGCGGUUUGCUAAGACCGAUGUGAAAUCCCCGGGCUCAACCUGGGAACUGCAUUGGUGACUGGCAGGCUAGAGUAUGGCAGAGGGGGGUAGAAAUCCACGUGUAGCAGUGAAAUGCGUAGAGAUGUGGAGGAAUACCGAUGGCGAAGGCAGCCCCCUGGGCCAAUACUGACGCUCAUGCACGAAAGCGUGGGGAGCAAACAGGAUUAGAUACCCUGGUAGUCCACGCCCUAAACGAUGUCAACUAGUUGUUGGGGAUUCAUUUCCUUAGUAACGUAGCUAACGCGUGAAGUUGACCGCCUGGGGAGUACGGUCGCAAGAUUAAAACUCAAAGGAAUUGACGGGGUCAUAGCUGUUUCCU
rnacentral:rRNA from 1 species